UUCGUCUCCGCAACGAAAGCCGCCAUCCCUUCGCGCCUGCCGUUUUGUCAUAGUUUUGUUUUCUGCAAGUCCGUGCACGCAGCUCAUCGGUAGAUGCACGGGUGCACGGCGUCGCAUUGCGACCUGCGGCAUUUUCUCGUGUUCGCGCAAUCGGUGUGCGACAUGUCGCAUUUGAAAUAUUUGAUAGAAGUGCCUCACGUCCAAGUCAAGCCGCCGUACGGGUGUAUGGCUGUGUGCCCCGUUCUCGGAAGCGUCGACGGGCUUCCGGCAUGCGGAUUUCAGAGUUUGGACUCGACUUUUGGUGAGGAUGUCGAUCGACCUUGGGCCUGGUGACAGCACACCCGACAUGGCCAAAGUGCAGCCUAUCAGUUGAGUGCCCCCGAAUGGACCAUCAACAUCGGAAAAUGAAGCAGAGCCAGGUAG